AUUGAACGCUGGCGGCAUGCUUUACACAUGCAAGUCGAACGGUAACAGGUUAAGCUGACGAGUGGCGAACGGGUGAGUAAUGCAUCGGAACGUGCCCGAUCGUGGGGGAUAACGCAGCGAAAGCUGCGCUAAUACCGCAUACGAUCUGAGGAUGAAAGCGGGGGACCGUAAGGCCUCGCGCGAUCGGAGCGGCCGAUGUCAGAGUAGGUAGUUGGUGGGGUAAAGGCCCACCAAGCCGACGAUCUGUAGCUGGUCUGAGAGGACGACCAGCCACACUGGGACUGAGACACGGCCCAGACUCCUACGGGAGGCAGCAGUGGGGAAUUUUGGACAAUGGGCGAAAGCCUGAUCCAGCAAUGCCGCGUGCAGGAAGAAGGCCUUCGGGUUGUAAACCGCUUUUGUACGGAGCGAAAAGGUCCUUUCUAAUACAAGGAGCUCAUGACGGUACUGUAAGAAUAAGCACCGGCUAACGACGUGCCAGCAGCCGCCGUAA
rnacentral:rRNA from 1 species